UACGUAGGGGGCAAGCGUUGUCCGGAAUUAUUGGGCGUAAAGAGCGUGUAGGCGGUCCGGUAAGUCAGCUGUGAAAGUCAAGGGCUCAACCCUUGAAUGCCGGUUGAUACUGUCGGGCUAGAGUCCGGAAGAGGCGAGUGGAAUUCCCGGUGUAGCGGUGAAAUGCGCAGAUAUCGGGAGGAACACCGGUGGCGAAGGCGGCCCUCUGGACGGAUACUGACGCUGAGACGCGACAGCGUGGGGAGCAAACAGG
rnacentral:rRNA from 1 species